UCUAGAUCUCUACGUGCAUCGAAUUUUUUUUCCAUCCCACGAUGUUUGGAAACUCGUCGACCAUUUUCACCGGCCAAUCGGCGAAGUCGAUUCGAGGAACGUGGCGAUAAAAAAUAUUUGCUCGAAAAUAUCAACGAAAGGUAGAACGUGUUGCCACUGCAUGGAAUUGUGAUUGUUCCAACAGGUUUCGAAAAAAGGAUAUGGACGCAUCUUUUCUUAAGAAACUGCUUCUAGAAAGAGUUGAUCGAUUAACCUUUCAAAAGAAAUUCAAAAUCUUACCAUUUCAAUCAACAACUAAGUCUUAGGUUAAUCUUUUUAAUACAUAAAAUAUAAUAACUUGAACAGUUUUGUAUCUCUACAUUUGAAUCUCUUUUAACUUGAAAGAUAUUAAAUCUUCUCUGAUUCAAAAUUUGUUCGAAAAUAUUACACAAAUUUUUCUAAUUUUUUUUUUUAAGAAAUAGCAAUAUUUCUACCGUGUGCAAAAUCCGAUAUCUGAAAGAUCACAUUAUUAUAUGAUUAUUCCUGAACUAGAAUCCAUGACAUAACCGUACAUGCCACCUGCGUUAAAUACAUUAAUUAAUCGCUACUAUAAAUACUACGUCCGAGUUAAAAGUGGGUUAAAGUGGGUAAAAGUAUCCGUUCGUUGAGUGGCGAGGCUCAAAGAAAUGGAAAUCAAUCGAACGUCGAUCAGAUGCAUGGCGCGAUUAGCGCAAUUAAGCGCCACUUGGGAGCGCGUAUGUGAGCGGACUCGUUAAUCACGCGAGUCACAACAUCGGGAGCAGACACGUUUCGACAAGCGUGAAUCGAAGAAAUUUGAUUUUGACGCCGUUAACGAAAAAUCGGGGAACAUUUACUAUUGUAUGAUGUGAACGGUAGAAAAUAAUACGUCUUUUUUCCGGACAAAUUUGACGAAGAAAUGCAAAAGCGACUUCGCAGUCACGUAUUCGAACACGGCCGAAUUACGCGAGAGCCACAAUUUCCUGUUGGCUUUCAUCUUUGGAGAACAGUGACGACGAGUAAACGACACCCAAAGUAAAAGGGAAAGGAAACAAGGGGAAGAGCUUUUUGGUCACGUUCAAGAUGCCUCGAGAAGAGCUCGAGCCUGUGUAACCAAGACACUUGCGAUUCAAACGGUUGAAACGAAAAACUGGCAGAGUUAAGGAUUGUUUUCUUUAGCUUUUCUCGGUGAACGCAACGAUUUUAAUAGACUUUGCAGUAAUAAAACUUUGUCCGACAGCCACGUACCUACGCGAUAGUCGUCGCCAAUAAUUGCCACCUGUUUCGAAGACACGCGGGAAAAACGUGGCGUCUAUUUAGCAAAAAUGAUCACUCUUUCCUUCGUCAACAUCGCUCAACGUUAUUACGUUACGACGUGCCUCCACCGAUCAUCGUGACGAGGGUGAAACCUGGCAUGGGACACGUUCAAGGGAACGAGUCGAGAUCAACGAGUAUCCCGGCACGGACACGCGUAAGAGAGACGCAUGCACGAGCGAUAGACAUAGGCGAAUACACAUGGACGCGUAACCGCAGAAAAAGCAACGGCAACACAGUAACGGAGAGACGCACAGGCACACUAUAUGCAAUUACCGCGUACAGAGAGUCUCGUUUCCACGCGUCGACCACGCGCGCUGCUCUUUGUCCCGUUCGCGAUCGAGUCAGAAACCAUGGAAAACGAAGAAGGCUCGAGCAAAAAAGCCUCGUGGGUCCAUUAAGGGUACCAGCCGCGUCCUCGUAAACGCUUCAUCGCCGCUUAAGGAGGUUCGCAUUCGUAACGACGAGCCACCGCACAACCACGACGAAACGACGCGAGCAAACAGCACACACACACACGCACAGAGCACCACCGACGAAGCGACGACAACACGACGAAAGCAAGAAUGGAACGGCGACGAGAGGUAACGAUUAUUACAGGACGAUCUUUCGCGGACAACACGGACCGCCAGUCGCGGAAAUUAAGGAGUCGCGUUAUAAAACGCAACGACCUACAAUGCUACAAAUGCCACGGAACCGUCCUCUGUGUCUCUUCUGGCCUCCCCCGUCUCGCCUACCCCUGCUCGACCAGCCGCCAUCGCCGCCGCCACUGCCUCCUUUUCCUCCGUUCGUUCGACGUGUAUCCCUCCUCCUUUUAGCUUUUUCCUCCCCUUGCCAGAGCCCCUUCUUAGGCCGACGCCGUCCCCUCCUCGCCUCGCCUUCGCCAACCACCACCCCCCACCAUCACUUUUCUUCCUACGAUACGAUGCGAUACGAUACGAAACGAUACGAUAGGACGCGCGAUCCGAUGCGAUACCGAUGCGAUGCGAUCUGAACCUAUGCCCCGCGCCGCCUCGUCCUCCCUCCCUUCCCCUCUCCACGCGCUGCUCUCCACACGUUCGGCCGGGAACGUACGGAGGAGACCUUACACUUAAGCUUCGACCCCUCUUUUUUCUCGCUUUAUUUUUCUCGCGUCGAGCUUUCCUCGCUUUAAGGCCGUCACCUUUACGCGUAUUCACCGAGUUUCAGUAGCUAUCUCCUAUGCAACCGAUUACAAUUUUAUGGAACAGGCUUGGUGGGGAUUGUUUUGCGAGUCUGGAUGCAGCGGCAGCGUGCGUCAUUAAUCGGUGAUAAGAGACGCGAAGGAAACGAAAAGGUCCGAGUAUCGACGAUGUGUACCGAAGAACCUUGUCGGAUUAUUCGCAUCCGAACCUAUCGCGAUCGGGAAUUUCCAGUUGGGUUUCGCUCGAAAAUAACCUUUGGGUAUCGCUUUUUUCUUGUCGCUUAAUUCGGCUCAAGAUUUAAUAUUGAAAUUUAUCCAACUGUGUUUUGGAUCUUUUCCAUCGAUUUUUUUUUAAAAAAUGAAUCGAAAUUUGAUAUUUAGAUUCGUGAAAUUGGGAUUCGAAACUUCGUUUAGUAUUGGGAAUCUCGAAAUUUGAAACUCUGGAAACCGAUAAUUGUUUAUUUUUUCCUUUCUUUCUUUCUUUCUUUUUUUUUUUUCAAGGAAUAAAUACGUUAUACUCUCUAUUUCGUUAAAAAUUGAAAUUUUAGUAAAUUUUCAACCAGUGGCGAUCACAGUUAUCUUCUUGACUUGCAAAAAACUGAACUUUUUUUUUAUAAACUAUUCAUAUCGUCACGAGAUUCUCGCAAGUUAUUUGUGCGAAUUGUUUCUUAUUUGGAUUUUAAAACUUUUCGAAUUUCAAAGAUCUCGAGCGUACGUAUAAUAAUAUUACACGUUAAUAUAAACUUCAUUUGAACUGUGUUAAUUCAUUAAACAGACCACGUGACUCGGUCGUUUCUUUACUACGACGAACAAGUUUGUUUAAUAAAACGAAACAAAAGAUGAAGAGGGGAAAAUUGAUUCGAUGCAAAUGAUCUGUUUGCACUGCCAAUGUAUUUUCGAAAGGAUCGGAAUUUUACAAGUAGGCCUUAUCGUUUAAUUCCCCGCCGGUCGAGAAAUACGUAACCGUAUCGAUAACCUUUCGCGUUGGAACUUCGGUCGGUCACUUCGAGACGAGCACUAUUUUUCAGGGGGAAAAAAAAUGUGUGUCCUUGGAAAUUUCUCGACCACGGAAAUAACAAAGGCGAGAAAAGAAUGGUCUGACCUGUUUCGCGACGAGGACCGAGCGAUUCGCAAAUCGAUGAGCGGGCGAAGGAAGGAGAAACACCUCUUAGACGGAACAUACGACAAAGACGGAUAGAAAAUACCACGCAAGGAGGGACGCUCGCGUGCGAAACGAUUCUGAAAGAACAAUCGAGAAGGUUCGAGCUGAAACGGCUCCCUGAUCCAAUUUCUUUUUCCAUUCUACACAAAUUUCGGUCGCACGAUGCACUCCUCGAUAAUGAUACAACACAUUAAGCGAUGUAUCAAUAUUUCUGUUGCGGAUGAUAUCGCUUAUCUGGCCGUGCUUUGUGGACUUCUCGUUGGAACAUCCCGGUCCGGAGACGCGAUGUAACGCGUGGAAGCCACAAGUGGUUCCUCUGGAAUCACGAGUUCCGUAGUGGGGAUGAUUUUUGGACUAUACAUGUACUUUUCUGCGCUUUAUUUUCUACAUCGAGCACACAAAUUGUUGCAAGAUAUAAUUUUUUCUUUCUUUCUCUCUCUUCGGUGAAGAAUUGGUCGGAUCGAUGGAAAUUAGUCGGAAAUUAAACCAGGGCAUCCUUUAUCUAGUAAUUUAAUAGACCGAAACACGUUUCAAAUUCUGCGGAACAAACGAUUGGAUUUCAAACAAUGGCUUCGAUCUUCUGGAUCAAAAUCGACGGUUCAGUUUUUAUCGGAUUGACGAAUAUAAAAUGAAUUAUUUGAGAGUUUUUAUAUGAUGAACGAUUAAUGCUUAUAUUUUUGGAAGUUUAAAUUUCAUUCCAAUUGUUCAAAAUUGAAUCAAAGAAAUUUACAACGAAUCGUAUAAUGUCUAACGAGAUUUCUAAUAACGGAAAUAUAUGUAUUUCUAUCUAGAAAAUAUUCGUUAUUACGUAUGCAGCAAUUUAAUAAUUUAUUCAUUUCGUUAUAUUCACUGGUAAGUGUUUCCAUGAGAACAAGAUGACCUUUUGCUUUUUGAAGUAUUCGACAUUCACAUCAUAAUCAUUUUACCAAAAACAAAAACAUUAUUAUGUUGCAACGAAUGCAUAUAAUAAGAUGCAAAGAUAUUAAUCAGAAAAGCGUAAAAACAAAAUACUUUUGAAUCUCUCUCAACGAUAAGCUCCAAGGUUACCAUACAUGUAUACGCACGGUAUACAUGUUUUACGUUCCUCCGUAGAGCGUUACCACCACUUCCGGUUAUUAGACGGUGACCAGCUGUUCUUCCAAGUGUAUUAAAGUCAGUUGCCUUAAUAUAGAAUAUUUCUUUCACGAAACUUGUAUAAAAAACUUAGAUAUCAUGGAUAAUAGAUGCGUAGAAAAUUUCAUAAUAAAUUAAUUUUACUUUUGUAUUUUUAAUCGUAUCGAUGAUACCAUUUACGAUUUUGUUUACAAUUGUAAUAUUUACAAUGCUAUCGAGAUAUUCCACGAAAAAGAAAUCAUUUUUUUUUUUUAAUCUUCAAAAUUAUUGCCUUACAGAGAUAAGAAUCGACAUUUCUCUCGACAAUUGUUGCGCGAUUAAUAUUACGUUGAAAAUUAUUUUGAAAAUCUCAAAGAUCCAUUUCUUUAAUAUUCCUUCGCUGUUAAUUCUGACUUAAUAAUUUGUUCAUACGCUCAAAUAAAACGAAUGACGAAUCUGCUUCGUUUAUUGUCGAUAUAUGAUGUAUCUUUCAUGUAUUCAUUAAUAACCAUUCCGCAUUAGUCACGUAUUAGGGCAACCAAAUCGAUCUUUUUCCUCGGCAAUUUUCAAUGCGAAAGGACACACACACACAAGAUUCGUCGGUUAAAACAGCGAUGCGGUUUUUUCGACUUUUCUGUUAAUUAAAAAAUCGGCGGUGAUGGGGGAAAAAAAACAAAAAAGCACGUCUUCCAAUGGAUAACAAAACCACAAGUACACAUAACAUUUAUACAACAAGUUACGUGUAUGCAAAACGAGAAAAAAUAUUGUAUUAGGUUACGCUUCAUCGAGCCACAUCCACGUGUAAUCGUGCGUGCGUACACAUCGCACACAAACGUCGAUCUUCAGCGAGAUCCACUAAAGCGAGCGUUAGUCAAGUGCACUCGACGAUUACUAGGCGACAUACUCCACUGAUCUUCACACACGUCUUUCUUCCGAGUCGAAGACUACAACGAAACUUUUACUCGUCUUUGGUUUCCCUCUCGUAUCGUUCGAGGACCGGAAGUCGAAACAUUUGACGAAUCCAUUUCUUUUUUCUGAUCGAUUUUUCUUUUCCACGAUGUUUACUUGGUCAGAAAGGAUAUUUCAAUCCCCUCAAGAUGCAUUAUUAUUAUUGUUGUUAUUAUUAUAUUAUAUUAUUUUAUUAUGACACGGGAUGAAAUAAUAUAUAAAAAUUUUCAUAACGAGAAACGAGGUUGUUUGACAUCGUAAAAAUAAAGGUUUAAAUGCGUGGAAGUUGAAAGUGAAAAAAUAAUCUGGCGGUUGAUCAAUGGAAAUUUGAAAACAUCAUCGAAAGAUCAUUUUUUUCUCCGGUACAUGUUAAUACAUCGAGGUUAAAAAAGUAAAAAACUUGACAGGUAAAGCCAUUUUAAUCGCAAUUACAUUUAUGAUUACAUAUGAGAUUAAAGAAUAAAGGAUAAAGAAUAAAUUCCCCUUUUUUUCAAUGUUUAAAUUUGACAAAUUACUACUAGAUUUUUUUUUUAAAACGGAUAGUUAUUAAAUAUUCUUCCACAAAGGAUUCUUUUCUUCUAUAAAAAUUAGAAUAUGAUAAAAGAAUAGAUAAAUAGAAGAAUAUGAUAAAUUUUCCCUCGAAAAAUUUGUCCCGUGAAUUUCAAGAAAGCUCGCCCAUUAUUUUUGAUUCGUCCAUUGUAUCCAUUGCCGUUCGAUUCAUUUCAAAAAGUUUUUGGAUACGGUGUGAAAAAUAAACAAAUUUCACAGGGUACGAAGGUAGACUAAUCCAUCUGGGGCAACGUUGUUCGACCCGUUCAUCGGUUCGUUGGAUUCUCUCCUUUUUUUCUUUUUUUUUUUUUUUUUCCCCCCUCCAUCUUCGCUACACGCAGGGGAGAAAUGGAUG